AACACAAUAGUCUGUUUUCUUUAGACUGUACUCUUGAGACCCCCAUCUUGGGCACCCAGGCAAAUCCCCUGCCUCCGUUGAAGAUGUACAAAUUGUCUAGGUUAUGGCAUCUUUUCUUGGUAGCUGUUUCCUAUGUGUUUAAUGACCCCAUCAGGUUGAAAUUUGUUCCUUGUCCCCAGCUAAGAUGAUACAGGCAAGACCACUUAUUAACCAUGUGCCCUUAAUCAAAUUCCACAUCCUCUCUGUACCUCAGUUGCAUUAUCUGCAACAUGGGAAUAAUAAUAAAAUGCCUCUCAUUUAGCAGAGGUUUUCUUUGUAACUUAAUUUAGAUGAAAAAUAUAUGUUGCCUAUUUAGGGUAGCCUGUGGUAGAUGCCACAUACUCAGUGCCUGAGCUGCCUUCAAACCCAAACUUCAGAUCUAGUUCUUUGGCUCUAAAUCUUGCUGGAAAACUAAAUCUCCUACCCCUGGAGCCUUGCCAAAAUGCCGGUGCCUGGGCCCUAUUACCAGGGAUUCUAAUUCCCUUGAUCUAUGGUGGGUCCAGGAGUCAGUGUUUUUGAACCACUUCCCGGAAGUUCAAUUUACACCUAGAGAACCACUGGAUUUUGUGGUGUUCACCUUUUCCAGAUGGGAAGCUCUGAGGCCUAGAAAGGGGAAGAGACCUG
rnacentral:lncRNA from 1 species